UGCCAGCCGCCGCGGUAAUACGUAGGGUGCCAGCGUUAAUCGGAAUCACUGGGCGUAAAGAGCACGUAGGCGGCUAAGUUAGAGGUGAAAGCCCCGAGCUCAACUUGGGAACUGCCUUUGAUACUGUUUAUCUAGAGUCCGAGAGAGGUUAGUGGAAUUCCCAGUGUAGAGGUGAAAUUCGUAGAUAUUGGGAAGAACACCAGUGGCGAAGGCGGCUAACUGGCUCGGUACUGACGCUGAGAUGCGCAAGCGUGGGGAGCAAACAGGAUUAGAUA
rnacentral:rRNA from 1 species